UACGUAGGCAGCGAGCGUUGUUCGGAAUUACUGGGCGUAAAGAGUGUGUAGGCGGUGUUCCCAGUCUGUUGUGAAAUCUCCCGGCUUAACUGGGAGGGUGCAGCGGAAACUAGAAUGCUAGAGGGUGGGAGAGGUAAGCGGAAUUCCUGGUGUAGCGGUGAAAUGCGUAGAUAUCAGGAGGAACACCGGUGGUGUAAACGGCUUUCUGGACCAUAACUGACGCUGAGGCACGAAAGCGUGGGUAGCAAACAGG
rnacentral:rRNA from 1 species